rnacentral:lncRNA from 1 species
GUGAGCUAAUAUUCCUGGGCGAAUCUGGGUGUAGUGUAGGGAGAGUUUCUUUGCUCUAUAUUCCUUACUUUCCUGUUUUCCCGGUUUUGAAAGAGAAAAUCAUUGCAUUUACUUUAAUUAGCCAUCCUUUGAAGCGCCAGAAGGAGCCCAGGGACAUCAGAAAGAAGAAUGCUUUGCACCGGUUUCCCUGUUUUGAGAGCGUGCUGUUGAGUCGUACAGCACGUAUAAGCAAGAGCUUCCCAGAAAAGAACGUUCUUUACAUAAAUUGCGCGAAGAUCGGAAUCGAAGGGCAAAUCAUCAGCUUGAUGCCCAUUCUUUGGACACGAAGUUACUUAUUUACUUAGAAAGAAGAAAGGCAUUUUUUUUUAUGAAUUAGCCAUCUUGGAAGGUCGAAAACCAUAUUCUCAUUCCCCCUUUUUAUCCAAUCGUUCUGAUAGGAGGUAGGCCUCGCCCUAAUUGGCAGUUGACUGACUGAAGUCAGGCAUCAUUCUUUUAUUUGUUCUCUUAUGAUAUUUCUUAACAAUUCACUCUGAUAGCAACUCUUUCACUCAUCCGAGUCAGGCUGGCUUAGCGGUUCUCCUGAAAGGGAUAGCGAAGUUAGGAAUCGACUGGGACCAGAGGAGGACCACUGAGCGAAGAAGACCGGGCAAUUAGUCCUUCAUCCCAUUAAGCUAUCUGA